rnacentral:tRNA from 1 species
CAGGGGGUAUUUUAUGUAAAAUGUUAAUUUUGGGGAUUAAUGAAAUGGUUUAGUUCCUUUCCUCUGA